rnacentral:tRNA from 1 species
UGGGGCGUCGCCAAGUGGUUUAAGGCACCGGCCUUUGAAGCCGGCACUCGCUGGUUCGAAUCCAGCCGCCCCAG